rnacentral:rRNA from 1 species
CCAGACUCCUACGGGAGGCAGCAGUGAGGAAUAUUGGUCAAUGGGCGAGAGCCUGAACCAGCCAAGUCGCGUGAAGGAAGACAGUCCUAAGGAUUGUAAACUUCUUUUAUACGGGAAUAACGGGCGAUACGAGUAUUGCAUUGAAUGUACCGUAAGAAUAAGCAUCGGCUAACUCCGUGCCAGCAGCCGCGGUAAUACGGAGGAUGCGAGCGUUAUCCGGAUUUAUUGGGUUUAAAGGGUGCGUAGGUUGUUCGGUAAGUCAGCGGUGAAACCUGAGCGCUCAACGUUCAGCCUGCCGUUGAAACUGCCGGGCUUGAGUUCAGUGGCGGCAGGCGGAAUUCGUGGUGUAGCGGUGAAAUGCAUAGAUAUCACGAGGAACUCCGAUUGCGAAGGCAGCUUGCCAUACUGCGACUGACACUGAAGCACGAAGGCGUGGGUAUCAAACAGGAUUAGAUACCCUGGUAGUCCACGCAGUAAACGAUGAUUACUAGGAGUUUGCGAUAUACCGUCAAGCUUCCACAGCGAAAGCGUUAAGUAAUCCACCUGGGGAGUACGCCGGCAACGGUGAAACUCAAAGGAAUUGACGGGGGCCCCGCACAAG